UUUGAUCCGCCUAAGUUGAGAGAGACAGAGCUUCUAACAGGAACCCUCCGCCAAAACCUUCGACUUCUUCCUUCUUCCUUCACUGUUCUGACGGUCAUCGGCGAGAGUUGGCCGAGUUGCAGCUUUGCUAUGGUGUCUUCUUCAGCACCGUGAUUUCUUGUUCUUCCCCUGCUCCGUGAUCAUGUGAAUAUGCCGCUGCAGAUUGUGGGUUGCGAGUUCUUGGUUCCCUGUGUUGCCUUCGGUCAUUCACUGGUUCUACUUUGCGUCGUCGGAGCUCUUUCUUUCUCCAUAUCUGUUUUGCAACUUCCUCUUCUUUGUGCUUCUGCCUUCGUGAUCUGAGGGAGGGCUAGUUGAAUCAAGCUGACAAUUUUCGUAUUAAAAGCUAAGUGAUGAUAGUAUGGUUUUGAAUAUUUUCUUCUUGGGUUUAAAUUAAUCUUGAUGAGGAAUUUGAUUGGAAAAGCAUGAUGAGUUCAAUUGUGGAUGUUUGGGAAUUUAUUGGGCAAGAGAUUAAAGGUUAAAAAACCUUAUUGAUUAGGCUGGAAAAUUACGCACACUAUGUGUUUGAUACAAUGCCUAAGAAGAAGUUAUAUCCCUAUGGAAUAGUUAAUUAUAGUUAAAGUAUUACGUAGAAACUUGGCGAUAUAGACGAUAAUGUUUGGAAAAAUCUUUGGAUUAUUCAAGUUGAAAAUGAUUAUAUAAAUGUUGAGAGCAAAUUCAUUUGAUUUGAGUAAAGGCUAUUAGAAUUUCUUUAUAUUAUUAGGAUAUUUGGAGGAAGUGGAAUUGGAAACAAGUUGUAAGGAGUAAGUUUUGAUCUUGGAUGUACUUCACGUAAAUGAAUAGUAUUCCAAUUAAAUACAAGAGCAAGUUUUUAUUUUAUCAAAAUUACUAUUGAAUAUGUGCUUUACUUGGCACCUUGUCAUCUUUUUCAGCCACGGAGUUUGGUUCUAUUGCUAUUAAGUCUAAAAUUUUAGCACUUUACUCUGUUUGUAACACAUCAACAUCAUUUAAGUAAAGAGUAUAUUUCAGUAAAUAUUAACAGGAAAAUCAAACCAAACCAACUUCUUGAUAAAAGUGUUGAAAAACCAACAAAUAACUUAAUUGUUUCUGUUUUUUUUUUUUUCAAGUCAUCCUAUGGGAAGCUAUUGAAACGUAGUUCUAAAAAUGUAUGGCUGCUUUGUCCCAAAGGGGGAAAAAAAAUUCUGCAACCAAGACAAAAUAUAGAACAAAAUAGGUAUGUAUGGAGGUUAUAUAAGUUCCAUAAAUUCUCAUAAAAAGAUGAAGAUGAUGGAAGAAGCACAUAUGGUUUCAGGGUCUGAGUUUGUUCACUGGUCAUUAUUAAAGAGUAUAUUUCAUUGGAAGGAAACAAAUUGCUUUCAGUGCUUUUUAGAUGCGUAGUUGUCUUUCAACUCACAUGCAUAUUUAUUAGUUAUUACAAGUUAAAAUAAUAGCGUGGUUUCAGUUUUAGAUAAGCAGCACCAACUUACUUUAUUUCUUUUGGUAUGUUUUUUCUUCUCUCUCUUCUUCACAAGGAGGAAAGAAUGUUUUGUAUAAGAGUUGAUGUGAUUCGAAUACAGUGGCUUUUCAAGUCCACAAACCAAUUCAAAUCCUCUUGGCAUAAUUGUUUAUCGUAUUCCUUGUAAUUUGUUUAUUGUAUUGCAGAAGGUCCAUAAGCCGAUUCAAGUCCUUGCAAUUUGUUUAAUGUAUAUGAUCAGACCACUUGUUUAAAUAAAAACUUUAUUUUGCCUCUGUUUGAGGAAGGCCUAGUGUGAUGUGGCAUUGAAAUUAUAAUAAUUGGCAGAACUGUAAUUUGCUCUUAUGAGGUUGAUGAGUGGCCAGAUUGUGUCUUUGGUCAUUGAGAUUGUAAUUAGGAAAUUUCAAGAGAUCAUACUUUGGAUUAGGUUGAAGUCCUGUCUAGUGUAUAUGUCUGUUUUGCAGUGUUAUUAAUAUGACUAAAUAUUCUUGUUUACUUACUAUAAUGGCAAUGAUUGAUUUUAAAAUGGCUUAA